rnacentral:tRNA from 1 species
ACACCUGUAGCUCAGUUGGUAGAGCAUGGUGUUUGCAACGCCAGGGUUAUGGGUUCGAUUCCCACGGGGGGC